UUCCAGGGUUCAAAUCCUACCUCUGGCACUUAACUGCCGUCUGCCUUACAAAAGAAUUGAGGCCAAGAGGCCUAAAGCCUGUGAGCCCUGGCUUCAAAGCCAAGACCUGGGCUAAGAUUCAUCCAGCCCCACUCAAUUCCCCCACAGGUUCGAGAGGAGUACCGGCGCUGGGCCUGCAUAGUCACUAAGAGCAAGUACAAUGAGUUUUCCACCUCUACAACCAGCCAGAGCCGGGCCCUCAGACCGUCGCUGGAGUCUGGGAUGUGAACACCACCAACGGGCCCCGUGGGGACACUGCAGCUUUUGCACAUGCCAGAGAAUGAUUCCGCCGCCUAUUCUGUAACUCCUCUCGCCCACUACUCCUAAAGAAUCUAUCUUCCCUCCAAGGCAGGCCUCAUCGAGGAACAUAAAGCUUCAGGGAUGCAGAGCCAGUCGUCAAGGGAAUAUAGCUCGUGCUAUUCUGAGGGAGGGCAGAGAAAUUGCCCUGGCUUAAAAAUAUGCAACUCAUAAUUCCAUCCCCUACUGGAACCAGCUCCCUGGGGAAGGUGCUCUCUGGGCUCAGCCUGGGCUUACGCUCCCUCCCCCAGCUUUGGCACCAAGGGCCAGGACCACAGAAGACGAGAUGGAACUGAGCCCCAAUUUCCUUUUUCUCACAUUAUUAGGGAAGGAGUGUGACCGACAGUGACUGAGGCAAACGGUACGAAGGGGCUUGUCCCCAUCCUUAUCUACUGAUGGGGGGGCACAGGCAGCUCUGUCAAGUGGACUUUUUUAUUUGUUUAUAUUUCUCUUUUUUUAAGCUUUCUAAAGUCGACAUUUCAGAUUAAACAGAUUGAGUUAAUACAUGA